rnacentral:rRNA from 1 species
GAUGAACGCUGGCGGCGUGCCUAAUACAUGCAAGUCGAGCGAACGGACGAGAAGCUUGCUUCUCUGAUGUUAGCGGCGGACGGGUGAGUAACACGUGGAUAACCUACCUAUAAGACUGGGAUAACUUCGGGAAACCGGAGCUAAUACCGGAUAAUAUUUUGAACCGCAUGGUUCAAAAGUGAAAGACGGUCUUGCUGUCACUUAUAGAUGGAUCCGCGCUGCAUUAGCUAGUUGGUAAGGUAACGGCUUACCAAGGCAACGAUGCAUAGCCGACCUGAGAGGGUGAUCCGCCACCCUGGAAGUGAGAAACGGUCCACACUCCUACGGGAGGCAGCAGUAGGGAAUCUUCCGCAAUGGGCGAAAGCCUGACGGAGCAACGCCGCGUGAGUGAUGAAGGUCUUCGGAUCGUAAAACUCUGUUAUUAGGGAAGAACAUAUGUGUAAGUAACUGUGCACAUCUUGACGGUACCUAAUCAGAAAGCCACGGCUAACUACGUG